AAGACCUUGCGCUUUUGGAGCGGCCGAUGUCUGAUUAGCUUGUUGGUGAGGUAAAAGCUUACCAAGGCUUCGAUCAGUAGCUGGUCUGAGAGGACGGCCAGCCACACUGGGACUGAGACACGGCCCAGACUCCUACGGGUGGCAGCAGUGGGGAAUUUUGGACAAUGGGGGCAACCCUGAUCCAGCCAUGCCGCGUGAGUGAAGAAGGCCUUCGGGUUGUAAAGCUCUUUCAGCCGGAACGAAACGGUUACGGUUAAUACCCGUGACUACUGACGGUACCGGAAGAAGAAGCACCGGCUAACUACGUGCCAGCAGCCGCGGUAAUACGUAGGGUGCAAGCGUUAAUCGGAAUUACUGGGCGUAAAGCGUGCGCAGGUGGUUUUGUAAGUCAGAUGUGAAAUCCCCGGGCUUAACCUGGGAACU
rnacentral:rRNA from 1 species